rnacentral:rRNA from 1 species
GACGAACGCUGGCGGCGUGCCUAAUACAUGCAAGUCGAGCGCAGGAAGUCAUCCGAACCCUUCGGGGGGACGUUGACGGAAUGAGCGGCGGACGGGUGAGUAACACGUAAAGAACCUGCCCUCAGGUCUGGGAUAACCACGAGAAAUCGGGGCUAAUACCGGAUGGGUCAUCGGACCGCAUGGUCCGAGGAUGAAAGGCGCUCCGGCGUCGCCUGGGGAUGGCUUUGCGGUGCAUUAGCUAGUUGGUGGGGUAAUGGCCCACCAAGGCGACGAUGCAUAGCCGACCUGAGAGGGUGAUCGGCCACACUGGGACUGAGACACGGCCCAGACUCCUACGGGAGGCAGCAGUAGGGAAUCUUCCACAAUGGACGAAAGUCUGAUGAGCACCGCCGCGUGAACGAUGAAGGCCCUCGGGUCGUAAAGUUCUGUUGUAAGGGAAGAACAAGUGCCGCAGGCAAUGGCGGCACCUUGACGGUACCUUGCGAGAAAGCCACGGCUAACUACGUG